CGAACCUUGCCUGAACUCCUCCACAGAUCAAGGGAGGUCAUCACCAGCUGUUGACUAAUUCAGUGAACUAAAAACGUACCAUCAGCACAGGCAGAACCCUUUAGAAAAUGGAAACUUCUCCAAGAACAGAAGGAUACUUCCCCCAUCUGGUCUCCUUGUGCCGGCACUAGCUAGGAGCAGAAGUUUGAUUUGAGUAGGGGAUGUGUCUUGGGGCUACAGUGUUACCUUCAUUACCUUCCCUUCAAAUGAGUCCUCAGGAACCUCCCCCAGGAGCCAUGAGCUUUCAAAAACUAACAGGACUGGUCAGACCAUGAUUCCAGCCAGCUUCCUCAGCACUGGGGCUGAGGCAUCCUGUCAGGUCCCAUGAAUGUCCAGCUUGCUUCAAAUGUUCCCUAACCUGUUAUCCCUGUACCAAGGGUACAGUUCAGGCCUUCCCAAUGGUCUCUGGGCCCUGGGAUUCCUGAAGAUCUCCUGAAGGUAAAGACUGAAGCAAAGGCAGCAUUGACUACCUCGGCCUUUUCCAUCGCCAUCGUUGUCCUUGCUCAUGAGUGAAGUUCACACAGUCACUGAGACCCCUUUUAGGAUGGGCUUUCA